rnacentral:rRNA from 1 species
AUUGAACGCUGGCGGCAGGCCUAACACAUGCAAGUCGAACGAGUGGCGGACGGGUGAGUAAUGUCUGGGAAACUGCCUGAUGGAGGGGGAUAACUACUGGAAACGGUAGGUAAUACCGCCUACUCUCCGAUGUGCCGAGAUGGGAUUAGCUUGUUGGUGGGGUAACGGCUCACCAAGGCGAACAUCCCUAGCUGGUCUGAGAGGAUGACGAGCGACACUGGAACUGAGACUCGGUCCCGACGCCUAUGGGCGGCAGCCGUGGGGAAGAUGGAACAGUGGGUGCAAGUCGGAUGCCGCGCUGGCGCGUGUAUGAAGAGGGCCUUAGGGUUGUAAAGUACUUUUAGCUGGGAGGCGUUACCCUUAGAAGCAGCACCGGCUAACUCCGUGCUAGCAGCCGCGGUAAUUC